rnacentral:rRNA from 1 species
CAAUAGCGUAUAUUUAAGUUGCUGCAGUUAAAAAGCUCGUAGUUGGAUUUCGGGUGGGAAUGGCCGGUCCGCCGUUUCGGUGUGCACUUGCUACGCCCACCUUGCUGCCGGGGACGUGCUCUUGAGUUCACGCUCGGGACACGGAGUCGGCGAGGUUACUUUGAGUAAAUUAGAGUGUUCAAAGCAGGCCUACGCUCUGAAUACAUUAGCAUGGAAUAACACGAUAGGACUCUGGCCUAUCUUGUUGGUCUGUAGGACCGGAGUAAUGAUUAAGAGGGACAGUCGGGGGCAUUCGUAUUUCAUUGUCAGAGGUGAAAUUCUUGGACUUAUGAAAGACGAACUACUGCGAAAGCAUUUGCCAAGGAUGUUUCCAUUAA